GAGGAAUAUUGGUCAAUGGGCGAGAGCCUGAACCAGCCAAAUCGCGUGAAGGAAGACUGCCUUAUGGGUUGUAAACUUCUUUUAUACAGGAAUAAAAAAGGGGACGUGUCCCUUAUUGCAUGUACUGUAUGAAUAAGCAUCGGCUAACUCCGUGCCAGCAGCCGCGGUAAUACGGAGGAUGCGAGCGUUAUCCGGAUUUAUUGGGUUUAAAGGGUGCGCAGGCGGGCUUUUAAGUCAGCGGUGAAAUCUCGGGGCUUAACUCCGAAACUGCCGUUGAAACUGGGAGUCUUGAGUGCAGUAAAGGUGGGCGGAAUUCGUGGUGUAGCGGUGAAAUGCUUAGAUAUCACGAAGAACUCCAAUUGCGAAGGCAGCUCACUGGAGUGUAACUGACGCUGAUGCUCGAAAGUGUGGGUAUCAAACA
rnacentral:rRNA from 1 species